rnacentral:lncRNA from 1 species
GGGCAUAUUUGGAAGGUGGAAAAAAAUGAAAUUUCGUUUCGCGGUUUCUUUCAUUCGCACCCAUUCGCUCUUCACUCUCGUAUCACUCUUUCUCAUUCUCUCAUCGCCAAUCUCUCUCUCUUGUUUCUCGUAUCUCUCUCUCGUUCUCUCAUUGCCAUUAUCUCUCUCGCGUUCUCUGAGUUCUUUGUCUCUCUCAUUUGCCUGAGCAUUGUUGUGGGUCUCUCGCGUUGUUUUUCAAGGUUUUCCUUGACCUCUUGCAUUGACGCUUUUCCUUGAACUCUUUCUCAUGUUCCCC